rnacentral:misc_RNA from 1 species
CAAGUGACCCCGGUCUAACCACCGGGAUGUUCAUAACCCUUUGUUGUCCGACUCUGUUGCCUCCGGGGCGACCCUGCCUUCGGGCGGGGGCUCCGGGUGGACACUUCAAAACUCUUGCGUAACUUUGCAGUCUGAGUAAACUUAAUUAAUAAAUU